ACGACUCUCGGCAACGGAUAUCUCGGCUCUCGCAUCGAUGAAGAACGUAGCGAAAUGCGAUACUUGGUGUGAAUUGCAGAAUCCCGCGAACCAUCGAGUUUUUGAACGCAAGUUGCGCCCAAAGCCAUUCGGCCGAGGGCACGUCUGCCUGGGUGUCACGCAACAU
rnacentral:rRNA from 3 species